CAUGCCCUCAUCAGUUCUAUUUAUAACAGGUCACCAAGCCCAGAAAGAAGCGUUUAACUGUCACCACUGGGUGAGCCCACCACAGCAGAGACUGCGCAGGCAGGGAGUGGAGCCCAGGCAGCACACGGCACUCAGGAUGAGGUGCGAGUGACACCACACCCACAGAUGUCACCGCACUGGGGAGAAAGGGAAAACUUGAAAAUUACAAGCAAGACUAUAUUGAAGAGAAAUGAGCAAUGAGCUUUCCAAUUUUUUUUUUUUUAAGCACAAGUUACAUUUAAAAAAAUGAGAAGACAGACAGGACAAAAGAGCUCCAUGAAACCAAUCACAGGUUUGGGGAACUGAAACUAUAGCCCUUCACAGAUGGAAGGGGUGGAGGAUGUGAACACUGUUGAAUCAGAGGCUCAAGUGAAAUCGCGCCCUGGAAACAGACUGCAGGCAGAUUGCGAAGGCAGAAGACGGUUUCUGAAGCAUGUUGCUUCAUGCCAACGUCCUACCAUCUACUGAGGGCACUGCCUCGGAGGUGGUGCUGGACAGAGGAACCUAAACUCAGCUCCAAGAACAGGUGCCGCCACCUAACUGAGUUACCAACAAUUCCCAAGGUGGCAUGCCCUGCUGGAGAAGAGCAUGCCCAGCCAAUGACAACCAGCGUUUAGACAAGUGUGCUGAGCCUGCUAACAGCUCUCAUCCAGCUGUGUCCCUGCAUGAUUCACCUUUUCCUUGAUUCUAUCAAUUCCCAAUUCAAUAAACAAUCUUACCAGAAAAGCAUCUGCAUUUCUGCCUCCUUCAGGUUCUCAAAUUGGUUUGC